GAUGCCAGGAUCAAAAGGCCUAAGCCCACAUGAGCUUGCUCAUAGGUGGGCGUAAGGCUUUGGGAUCCGCCCCAAUAUGAGCAUAAAAGUGGGAUGUAUAUCCCACGAUAUGCGAAUAUUGGGUAGGAUUGUGGGAGUGCGCAGCACGAAACAAUCCGUAGGCAUC
rnacentral:sRNA from 1 species